rnacentral:rRNA from 1 species
AUCAAACGAGACUCCCUUAGUAGUGGCGAGCGAAAGGGGAAUAGCCCAAACCUGUAUACUACGGUGUGCAGGGGUUGUGGGACGUCGACAUGUAGCCCGACUGUUAGUCGAACCCUCUGGAAAGUGGGGCCAAAGACGGUGAUAGCCCGGUAGGCGAAAAUAGAGAGGCGCUAGACGUAUCCCGAGUAGGACGAGGCACGUGGAACCUUGUCUGAAUCCGGG